CCACGUUAUUGUUUAACUGCUGGAUUGUACAAUGCAAUUUACACCAUGCAGGUACUGGACACUAGUGCACACAUGAAACAAGACAUAGUAUAGUAUAGUAUAGUAUAGUAUAGUAUAGUAUAGUAUAGUAUAGUAUAGUAUAGUAUAGUAUAGUAUAGUAUAGUAUAGUAUAGUAUAGUAAGUGAACAUAGUAAGUGAACCCAGCUAAUUUUAGAUUUCAGACAGUAGCGUCACCUUGGAUGUUGCUUCACUGAUUGGCAUACUCUGCCAAUCUGACAACCAAACACCAGACCAAGGCUUUUUCACUCAAAUCAAUCUGGCUCUUGCUUUGGUUUCUAUUAACACUGGGUCCACAAUUAUCAUGCUGAAAUAUAUUUUAUCUUGUUACAUUUCUA